GUCAAACCAAGACAGAGUAUACACGAGGGUAGUGGUAGCAGCAGCGGUAACCCUGGACGUGUACGUGUUGCACUGCGUGUGCGCCCAAUGAACAAAGAGGAAACUGAAACUCAGGCUGCAUAUGGCGUGGAGACUGAGCAGGAGACAUCAAAGAUAACCCUGAAGCGCAACCAGUGGGACGAAGAUCAUUUCACCUUUGACGCUGUAUUCGCUGAGCACGCAUCUCAGCAGCGUGUUUACGAGGCUGUGGCCGAGCCUAUUGUGGAGAGUGUCCUUAAGGGUUUCAAUGGUACGGUUAUGGCGUACGGGCAAACCGGAACAGGGAAGACGCACACGUUGGGAAACUUGGGACUCAACGAUGUAUCAAGCCAAGGUAUCAUGCUCCGGUCAGUCGCUGCAAUCUUUGACGCAGCUGCUAACGAUGAGGAGGGCACGUAUACGGUGACCGCGAGCUAUCUACAGUUGUACAUGGAAACUGUUCAAGACCUUUGGGAUCCAAAGAAUCAAGAUAUCAAUAUUCAGGAGGAUC
rnacentral:rRNA from 1 species